ACCCCAGGACGUUGGUUUCCUAGGAGAUCGGAGUCCAAUUCAGGAGGAGUGGGACCACCCCCCCUACAAACCCCACAGCCGGAACAAGAGGACAGGACCCCUCUUCGGCUGUUGGGCGGGGACUGGUGCUCUCUGUGCCGCCAGCUGCCAUGGCUACCAGUGGCACAGCACCAACAUUCUGCAGGUUCCUGACCUUGGCCGCCUCUGUGUUCCUAUGACCCUGGCGAGGAGGAGCCGGAGGCAGGGCUGAGCGCCAGCAACACCUGUGCGGACCUGGGGUCAGAAGAGCCAAGCAGCCGGCUGCCACCGCAGAGGCCACCUGGCUGGGGGUCUGAGAAGUCUGGGGUCCAGACUGGCCAGAGGUUGGACCUGCAAUGGAGGACACUCAGCGUCAGUGCCUGGGAUGAUGUGGCGCUGGCAAGGCACCACCAGGCAGUUGCCCCGCGGUGGGCCGGCCGUCAUCCACCGGAGCCCUGCGCCCUCCUGUCCGGUCCAGGGAACGAGAGAGGAGAAGGGUCCUGGCCCCAGGACUCUACGGACUGAGCCCAGGCUCGGGGGUGAAAGGCCCCGUUUCCCCUGGUCCUCCUCUCACCUGAGUUUGCCAACGUAGCUGCCCCCCUCCCGGGAUAAGUCGGUGGGGUCGAUGGAGAUGAGGUAGUUGGA